rnacentral:rRNA from 1 species
GAUGAACGCUGGCGGCGUGCCUAAUACAUGCCAGUCGAGCGAACGGACGAGAAGCUUGCUUCUCUGAUGUUAGCGGCGGACGGGUGAGUAACACGUGGAUAACCUACCUAUAAGACUGGGAUAACUUCGGGAAACCGGAGCUAAUACCGGAUAAUAUUUUGAACCGCAUGGUUCAAAAGUGAAAGACGGUCUUGCUGUCACUUAUAGAUGGAUCCGCGCUGCAUUAGCUAGUUGGUAAGGUAACGGCUUACCAAGGCAACGAUGCAUAGCCGACCUGAGAGGGUGAUCGGCCACACUGGAACUGAGACACGGUCCAGACUCCUACGGGAGGCAGCAGUAGGGAAUCUUUCGCAAUGGGCGAAAGCCUGACGGAGCAACGCCGCGUGAGUGAUGAAGGUCUUCGGAUCGUAAAACUCUGUUAUUAGGGAAGAACAUAUGUGUAAGUAACUGUGCACAUCUUGACGGUACCUAAUCAGAAAGCCGCGGCUAACUACGUG